UACGGAGGGUGCAAACGUUGCUCGGAAUUAUUGGGCGUAAAGCGCAUGUAGGCGGCCGAAUAAGUCGGGUGUGAAAGCCCAGGGCUUAACCCUGGAAGUGCACUCGAAACUGCUCGGCUUGAAUAUGGAAGAGGGUCGCGGAAUUCCCGGUGUAGAGGUGAAAUUCGUAGAUAUCGGGAGGAACACCGGUGGCGAAGGCAGGUCUCUGGGCCGAUACUGACGCUGAGGAGCGAAAGCGUGGGGAGCGAACAGG
rnacentral:rRNA from 1 species